UGGUCUUGAACUCCUGACCUCAGGUGAUCUGCCCACCUUGGCAUCCCAAAGAAUUUUAAUUUUUUAAUAAAAACAGCAGUACAUUUUGUUUAACAGAACAUUAGUUACCAGUUAUUUCCAAGAUUAACUCUAUUUAAAUACGAUGAUACAACUUUUUAUAUAACCAAUAUCACAAAUCAUAUUGAAAGGAUAUAAACAUAAAGCCACAUUCAGGUAAAUUACCAAUGGAAUUCCCACUUGUUCAGCUUAGAGAAGCCUAAACAAGUCCUACAUUGAAAAUAAAGCACGGUAGGAAUGAAGUCUGAGGUACAGGAGAUCACAGACGCAGAGUGACAGUAGGGAACGGGGUCAGAGACAAAUGGCCUUGGAGUGGAGACGUACAAUGGUGGCACAGCGUCACACAGGAAGUGGUGACCCCACGAUUCAAAUGGUUUGCUCAUUGGUGAAAAGGGGACAGUAACAUUCACUUCAAAAGCUGUGAGUCUUUUUUUUUUUUUUUUUUUUUUUUUUUUGAGGCAGAGUCUCGCUGUCGCCCAGGCUGGAGUGCAGUGGCGCGAUGUCCGCUCACUUUAGGCUCCGCCCCCCGGGUUCACGCCAUUCUCCUGCCUCAGCCUCCGGAGUAGCUGGGACUACAGGCGCCCGCCACCUUGCCUGGCUAAUUUUUUGUACAAAAGCUGUGAGUCUUAAAUGAACAAAGACAGAAUUUCAGAUAGGCGUUUUGAUAGCAUUGUGGCUCUCUGUGGCAAAGGCCAGUAGGAGCUGUUGGAUCAAGGAACUCCAGUUCUACGCUCUACAAAGAAAAUAUGCUGGCAUGCUAAUCGCGUGAGACAACUUGGCCCACGGACAGCCACAAAGCACAAAAACAAAACACAAACUCACUCAGAGAAGAAACAAGAAUCGUGUUUUCCUGGCAUCUACGAGAAGCGCUUUAUUAGAAGCGCUUUAUUUUUCCUCUAGAUUUCUUUUCUAAAAAAUGAAAAACAAAAACAAACUGAAACAAACAUUUAAAGAAACAAUACAAACUUCAGGUGAUGAUAUUCAAGCAUGUUCUUUUAUUAAGCAUAGGAUGCGAGGCACAG
rnacentral:lncRNA from 1 species